UAACACCAGCCCCUCGAGUGGUGGGGAUGAUUAUUUGGCCUAAAGCGUCCGUAGCCAGCCAUGUAAGUCUCCCGUUAAAUCCAGCGUCUCAAGCGUUGGACUGCGGGAGAUACUGCACGGCUAGAGGGUGGGAGAGGUCAGCGGUAUUCUGGGGGUAGGGGCGAAAUCCUUUGAUCCCCGGAGGACCACCAGUGGCGAAGGCUGCUGACUAGAACACGCCUGACGGUCAGGGACGAAAGCUGGGGUAGCGAACCGGAUUAGAUACCCGGGUAGUCCCAGCCGUAAACGAUGCAUGUUAGGUGUUGGGUCGGCCACGAGCCGCCCCAGUGCCGCAGGGAAGCCAUUAAACAUGCCGCCUGGGGAGUACGGCCGCAAGGCUG
rnacentral:rRNA from 1 species